rnacentral:rRNA from 1 species
AGUCGAACGGCAGCACGGGAGCAAUCCUGGUGGCGAGUGGCGAACGGGUGAGUAAUACAUCGGAACAUGUCCAGUAGUGGGGGAUAGCCCGGCGAAAGCCGGAUUAAUACCGCAUACGAUCUACGGAUGAAAGCGGGGGAUCGCAAGACCUCGCGCUAUUGGGGUGGCCGAUGGCGGAUUAGCUAGUUGGUGGGGUAAAGGCCUACCAAGGCGACGAUCCGUAGCUGGUCUGAGAGGACGACCAGCCACACUGGGACUGAGACACGGCCCAGACUCCUACGGGAGGCAGCAGUGGGGAAUUUUGGACAAUGGGCGAAAGCCUGAUCCAGCAAUGCCGCGUGUGUGAAGAAGGCCUUCGGGUUGUAAAGCACUUUUGUCCGGAAAGAAAUCCUGAUGGCUAAUAUCCGUCGGGGAUGACGGUACCGGAAGAAUAAGCACCGGCUAACUACGUGCCAGCAGCCGCGGUAAUACGUAGGGUGCGAGCGUUAAUCGGAAUUACUGGGCGUAAAGCGUGCGCAGGCGGUGAUGUAAGACCGAUGUGAAAUCCCCGGGCUUAACCUGGGAACUGCAUUGGUGACUGCAUCGCUAGAGUAUGGCAGAGGGGGGUAGAAUUCCACGUGUAGCAGUGAAAUGCGUAGAGAUGUGGAGGAAUACCGAUGGCGAAGGCAGCCCCCUGGGCCAAUACUGACGCUCAUGCACGAAAGCGUG